rnacentral:rRNA from 1 species
UACCUACGGGGGGCAGCAGUAGGGAAUCUUCCACAAUGGACGAAAGUCUGAUGGAGCAACGCCGCGUGAGUGAAGAAGGGUUUCGGCUCGUAAAGCUCUGUUGGGAGUGGAGAAAGAUAGAGGUAGUAACUGGCCUUUAUUUGACGGUAAUUACUUAGAAAGUCACGGCUAACUACGUGCCAGCAGCCGCGGUAAUACGUAGGUGGCAAUCGUUGUCCGGAUUUAUUGGGCGUAAAGCGAGUGCAGGCGG